rnacentral:rRNA from 1 species
CCUACGGGUGGCAGCAGUGAGGAAUAUUGGACAAUGGUGGAAACCCUGAUCCAGCGACGCCGCGUGAGUGAGGAAGUAUUUCGGUACGUAAAGCUCUAUCAGCAGGAGAGCAAAUGACGGUACCUGACUAAGAAGCCCCGGCUAACUACGUGCCAGCAGCCGCGGUCAUACGUCGGGGGCCAGCGUUAUCCGGAUUUACUGGGUGUAAAGGGAGCGUAGACGGCAGCGCAAGUCUGGAGUGAAAUGCCGGGGCCCAACCCCGGAACUGCCGUGGAAACUGGGAAGCUGGAGUGGAGGAGAGGUAAGCGGAAUGCGCGGUGUAGCGGUGAAAUGCGUAGAUAUCAGGAGGAACACCGGCGGCGAAGGCGGCUUACUGGACUGUAACUGACGUUGAGGCACGAAGGCGUGGGGAGCAAACAGGAUUAGAUACCCGAGUAGUC